CUUUAUUGGGGUUGCGGACAUAUCAUAACGAAGAGGUAUCGUAAUUGAAGAGGUUUGGAAAGACCCACCACAGAAGGUAAUAGUCCUGUAUGUUAAACGAGAAGACUUUAGAUAUGAUCCAGAGUACUACGGGACACGUGAAACCCUGUGGGAAGCAGGAGGGACCACCCUCCAAGGCUAAAUACUACCUAGUGACCGAUAGCGUAUAGUACCG
rnacentral:rRNA from 1 species